GACGAACGCUGGCGGCGUGCUUAACACAUGCAAGUCGAACGGAAAGGCCCUGCUUGCAGGGUACUCGAGUGGCGAACGGGUGAGUAACACGUGGGUGAUCUGCCCUGCACUUCGGGAUAAGCCUGGGAAACUGGGUCUAAUACCGGAUAGGAGCCAUUUUUAGUGUGAUGGUUGGAAAGUUUUUUCGGUGUAGGAUGAGCUCGCGGCCUAUCAGCUUGUUGGUGGGGUAAUGGCCUACCAAGGCGGCGACGGGUAGCCGGCCUGAGAGGGUGGACGGCCACAUUGGGACUGAGAUACGGCCCAGACUCCUACGGGAGGCAGCAGUGGGGAAUAUUGCACAAUGGGCGCAAGCCUGAUGCAGCGACGCCGCGUGGGGGAUGACGGCCUUCGGGUUGUAAACUCCUUUCGCUAGGGACGAAGCUUUUUGUGACGGUACCUAGAUAAGAAGCACCGGCUAACCACGU
rnacentral:rRNA from 1 species